rnacentral:tRNA from 1 species
GCCGAAGUGCUGGAAUGGUAGACGGAGCGGACUCAAAAUCCGCCGAGGGCAACCUCAUGCGGGUUCAAGUCCCGCCUUCGGCACCA